rnacentral:rRNA from 1 species
AUUGAACGCUGGCGGCAUGCCUUACACAUGCAAGUCGAACGGCAGCACGGGAGCAAUCCUGGUGGCGAGUGGCGAACGGGUGAGUAAUAUAUCGGAACGUGCCCAGUAGUGGGGGAUAACUGCUCGAAAGAGCAGCUAAUACCGCAUACGACCUGAGGGUGAAAGGGGGGGAUCGCAAGACCUCUCGCUAUUGGAGCGGCCGAUAUCAGAUUAGCUAGUUGGUGGGGUAAAGGCCUACCAAGGCAACGAUCUGUAGUUGGUCUGAGAGGACGACCAGCCACACUGGGACUGAGACACGGCCCAGACUCCUACGGGAGGCAGCAGUGGGGAAUUUUGGACAAUGGGCGCAAGCCUGAUCCAGCAAUGCCGCGUGCAGGAUGAAGGCCUUCGGGUUGUAAACUGCUUUUGUACGGAGCGAAAAGGCUCUCUCUAAUACAGGGGGCUCAUGACGGUACCGUAAGAAUAAGCACCGGCUAACUACGUGCCAGCCGCCGCAGUAACAC